CUUCUCCCCAAAAAGAAACGAGAAGAAGAAAUUUGUUAUUGAUAGUAUGGAGCAGAAACCUAUUCUUCUUUGCCUUAUGGUGCUUCUGCUGCUGGGAAAUUGUACUCAUGCUGAGAAUUGCAAAACUGAAACAGCUUUUGGAACCACCCUAUGCGCAUUUGUUACUUGCCUGAGCACCUGCAUAUCUGUGUGGGGGAAUCUUGUGAAACAAGCAGAUUGUAAGCCUGUCAGACCUUCCUAUACAAUUUGUACUUGUCUCGUAUGUGUCUAGAAUUACACUUUGCCAUCAUUUCGAACAAUGGGCAAUGAUGUGAUCCAGUAAUAAAAUCUUCUUGUCAAAUGGAUGUGAGGAUGUAUGAGAUCACUAAAUUUGGAUGUUAUGGUGAUCUGAUUUUACUCUGUUUUGUGUAGUCUUAGAAUCGAUGAUUUUAUGUUUGU